rnacentral:rRNA from 1 species
AGUGAACGCUGGCGGUAGGCCUAACACAUGCAAGUCGAACGGCAGCACAGUAAGAGCUUGCUCUUACGGGUGGCGAGUGGCGGACGGGUGAGGAAUACAUCGGAAUCUACUUUUUCGUGGGGGAUAACGUAGGGAAACUUACGCUAAUACCGCAUACGACCUACGGGUGAAAGCAGGGGAUCUUCGGACCUUGCGCGAUUGAAUGAGCCGAUGCCGGAUUAGCUAGUUGGCGGGGUAAAGGCCCACCAAGGCGACGAUCCGUAGCUGGUCUGAGAGGAUGAUCAGCCACACUGGAACUUAGACACGGUCCAGACUCCUACGGGAGGCAGCAGUGGGGAAUAUUGGACAAUGGGCGCAAGCCUGAUCCAGCCAUACCGCGUGGGUGAAGAAGGCCUUCGGGUUGUAAAGCCCUUUUGUUGGGAAAGAAAAGCAGCAGGUUAAUACCCCGCUGUUCUGACGGUACCCAAAGAAUAAGCACCGGCUAACUUCGUG